rnacentral:rRNA from 1 species
AGUGAACGCUGGCGGUAGGCCUAACACAUGCAAGUCGAACGGCAGCACAGUAAGAGCUUGCUCUUACGGGUGGCGAGUGGCGGACGGGUGAGGAAUACAUCGGAAUCUACUUUUUCGUGGGGGAUAACGUAGGGAAACUUACGCUAAUACCGCAUACGACCUACGGGUGAAAGAAGGGGAUCUUCGGACCUGGGGCGAUUGAAGGAGCCGAUGUCGGAUUAGCUAGUUGGCGGGGUAAAGGCCCACCAAGGCGACGAUCCGUAGCUGGUCUGAGAGGAUGAUCAGCCACACUGGAACUGAGACACGGUCCAGACUCCUACGGGAGGCAGCAGUGGGGAAUAUUGGACAAUGGGCGCAAGCCUGAUCCAGCCAUACCGCGUGGGUGAAGAAGGCCUUCGGGUUGUAAAGCCCUUUUGUUGGGAAAGAAAAGCAGCAGGUUAAUACCCCGCUGUUCUGACGGUACCCAAAGAAUAAGCACCGGCUAACUUCGUG